UGAGGAAUAUUGGGCAAUGCCCGCAAGGGUGACCCAGCAACGCCGCGUGGAGGAUGAAGGGUCUAUGACUUGUAAACUCCUGUAAAGAAGGAAAAAAUUCCCAUUUGAUGGGAGAUGAUGGUACUUCUGGAGUAAGCCCCGGCUAACUACGUGCCAGCAGCCGCGGUAAUACGUAGGGGGCAAGCGUUGUCCGGAUUUACUGGGUGUAAAGGGUGCUCAGGCGGAUUUGUAAGUCAGAGGUGAAAUCUUACAGCUUAACUGUGAAACUGCCUUUGAUACUGCAAGCCUAGAGUAUGGAAGAGAGUGAUGGAAUAUCUGGUGUAGCAGUGAAAUGCGUAGAUAUCAGAUAGAACACCAAUGGCGAAGGCAGUCACUUGGUCCAUUACUGACGCUAAAGCACGAAAGCGUGGGUAGCAAACA
rnacentral:rRNA from 1 species